rnacentral:rRNA from 1 species
CCUACGGGAGGCAGCAGUGGGGAAUUUUCCGCAAUGGGCGAAAGCCUGACGGAGCAAUACCGCGUGAGGGAAGAAUGCCUACGGGUUGUAAACCUCUUUUAUCAGGGAGGAACAAAAUGACGUGUACCUGAUGAAUAAGCAUCGGCUAACUCUGUGCCAGCAGCCGCGGUAAGACAGAGGAUGCAAGUGUUAUCCGGAAUUACUGGGCGUAAAGCGUCUGUAGGUCGUUGAACAAGUCAACUGUUAAAUCUUGAAGCUCAACUUCAAAAUCGCAGUCGAAACUGUUUGACUAGAGUAUAGUAGAGGUAAAGGGAAUUUCCAGUGGAGCGGUGAAAUGCGUAGAUAUUGGAAAGAACACCGAUGGCGAAAGCACUUUACUGGGCUAUUACUGACACUCAGAGACGACAGCUAGGGUAGCAAAUGGGAUUAGAUACCCCAGUAGUCCUAGCCGUAAACUAUGGAUACUAGAUGUUGAACAGAUCGACCUGUGCAGUAUUAAAGCUAACGCGUUAAGUAUCCCGCCUGGGAAGUAUGCUCGCAAGAGUGAAACUUAAAGGAAUUGACGGCUGAGAGCGACGACGACGACGAGAGGAGAG